rnacentral:misc_RNA from 1 species
CAGCCUUCAUCAUCAUCAUCAUCAUCAUCAUCUUUGCCAUCGUCCUUUGGCCUCAGGAAAAGCAGAGAGUAGCGAAGAAAGGAGAAGGGAAUUUAAUCUUUCGACGGGAUUUGAUUCAAUUAAGUAAUAAAAGAAUUUGUAUUUUCUCUUAUUGCUCAAAAGAAGUCGAAGUCACAGCGGAUCUGAUCAGUGAUCAGGACUCGUUUCUAUUUAACCAAAAAAAAAAAUUGAAAAACUCCUAGCC